AUGUGUUUUUUUUCUUAUAAAUACGACAAAUAACACCUGGCUCAUUCAAUUUUGAACGUUUCCAUCACUUCACAGCAAAAAAGAUCAGCUGAGUAUGGCUGAACAUCAAGUUCUGUGUCUUCUCCUUUUGACGGCUGUUAUUUGUCAAACAAGCGAUGCUUGGUUGAUAAACAAAAAAUGGCAAGAAAAAAAUUGUUUUUGUCAGGUGGUUCUAAAUUAUGGUAUCCAGAAUGUUGUCCGCGAUAUGGGUUCCAUUGUUAGAUGUAAAGAAUUGUUUGGUUGUAGUUGUAACCACAUUAAAAUGAGAUCUUGCUAUGCUAACUGUGAAGAUGAAGUUAAACGAUGGGCCCAGACCAGUUGUCCAUCCCAUCUGAUUGGUCAACAAAUCCGCGCCAAAUAUAAAGCCAGCACUUGUCAUAAUGGACUAACCCGUGCUGUUAUUAUUUGUUCUGGCAAUACUGGUAGUGCUAGUACUGGUGGACGAGGUGGCAGUGGUGUUAGAGUCAGAGGUGGCGGAGAAGGUGGAAGUGGUAGAGUCAGAGUUGGAAGCGGCGGCAUUGGUCGUAGAGUAAUUGCUGGUGUUCAACAAUGAUGGUAUUAAGACGGAUCCUGUCCCCAUUAUAGAACAAUGUCCGCUUCUACCGAGGGUGUUAUCGUAGACAAGACAGACCAACGAGAUGUAGACUACAUCUACACAUCUUUAUUGACGUCAAAGUUCAAAUCCCAAAUUUCCUUAAAUUGCGAUGGAAACUAUGACCAUAAGGCACCAUUUAUAUUACAUUCAAAUCAUUUUUACGUGUGAAACAACAUUAUUGAACAUCUGCUUUCCACCUAUAAAUGAUAUUGCAUAAAAAUCUACCUUUAAACAAAUUAUUUAAUUGUGGGCCCUAGCUGUAAAGUACCUGUAACGUGUGCCUCUAAAUGAUCAAUUCAGCAAAGCACGACUAAAAAGGUAAAUUUAAACCUUUGCCAUCAAUUGUCUUGUUUUGCGGGAAAGUGUGUGUGAUUUUUUUCCAUUUUAAUAUUAAAAGAUUCUAAUGGAUUGUCGAAUUAAUUUAGUUUUUGAGAAACAAGCGCUAGUGUGCCCGUUUAUGUUUCAAAAUGUUCCUAAAUUCUGACUUUAAAAAUAAAAAGGUUUGAACAA